CACAUCACAGAGACCACAGCCAGACCAGACACACCACAGAGACCACAGCCAGACCAGACACACCAUAGAGACAUCACAGAGACCACAGCCAGACCAGACACACCACAGAGACAUCACAGAGACCACAGUCAGACCAGACACACCACCGAGACACCACCGUUGACGUUUUGAAAUGUGUAGGGAGGGUGACCACAACAAUGUGUGUGUAAAGUAGAGGUUAAGAACCACAUGAACGUGAUACGGAUCUGUCCAGGGGGUGUAAAGUAGAGGUUAAGAACCACAUGAACGUGAUACGGAUCUGUCCAGGGGGUGUAAAGUAGAGGUUAAGAACCACAUGAACGUGAUACGGAUCUGUCCAGGGGGUGUAAAGUAGAGGUUAAGAACCACAUGAACGUGAUACGGAUCUGUCCAGGGGGUGUAAAGUAGAGGUUAAGAACCACAUGAACGUGAUACGGAUCUGUCCAGGGGGUGUAAAGUAGAGGUUAAGAACCACAUGAACGUGAUACGGAUCUGUCCAGGGGGUGUAAAGUAGAGGUUAAGAACCACAUGAACGUGAUACGGAUCUGUCCAGGGGGUGUAAAGUAGAGGUUAAGAACCACAUGAACGUGAUACGGAUCUGUCCAGGGGGUGUAAAGUAGAGGUUAAGAACCACAUGAACGUGAUACGGAUCUGUCCAGGGGGUGUAAAGUAGAGGUUAAGAACCACAUGAACGUGAUACGGAUCUGUCCAGGGGGUGUAAAGUAGAGGUUAAGAACCACAUGAACGUGAUACGGAUCUGUCCAGGGGGUGUAAAGUAGAGGUUAAGAACCACAUGAAUGUGAUACGGAUCUGUCCAGGGGAGUGGGACGGGUGUAAAGUAGAGGUUAAGAACCACAUGAAUGUGAUACGGAUCUGUCCAGGGGGUGUAAAGUAGAGGUUAAGAACCACAUGAACGUGAUACGGAUCUGUCCAGGGGGUGUAAAGUAGAGGUUAAGAACCACAUGAAUGUGAUACGGAUCUGUCCAGGGGGUGUAAAGUAGAGGUUAAGAACCACAUGAAUGUGAUACGGAUCUGUCCAGGGGUGCUGGACGGGAACGUAAUGGUGCUGUUAAAUACGGAUCCGUAGCCUCGGGCCAAUAGUUAAAGACUAGAUAUAGAAAGAUCUGUUUUGAUUUUGACAAUUCAUUUCUGAUGGCAGAAUUCUGGACAAUAUUUCUGUCAUAGAAAGCCUAUUAAAUCUCUAGACAGGGGAAAUGUCAUUAACCCUCAUAGUUCCAGAAUGGUUGGAUAAUGGCAGCCAUUUUGGUCAGGGAGAAAUCCUGACCAGUCUAAUUGUAAUGAAUGGCAUUAGAUACAGAGGCGGUGCAUGUCCUGCUUUUACUCAAGGAGGAGAAUAAAAGUAAGGCAUGUGAUAUAUCAGAAACUGUGUAAUAGAAAUAAUGUCAUAUAAUUAGAAAUCGUUUAUAUACCGUUUUUUUUUGUUGUUGGUAUAAAUAGCCUCUAAAAUAUGUAAACAGACCAUAAAUGUCUCAAUGUUUGUUCUCUUGGAAAGCUGUGAGGGUUACAAUAUGAUAAAAUAUUCGUACUGGUUGCUUUUACAAGUUGUCUAAGUGCAAUCGUCACAUUAUUUCAGCCGGUGCAUGGCUGUGGAAUGUCUGCAUUCUAUGUAAGGAAUGUCGGCAUAUUGACAGUUAUCUUUAUAAAGUUAAUAGAAUCAUCCCAACUUAAAACUGGGUCAUGGCUAGAAGAGAUCCAGCUUUUGUCAAAUUAAAGUCAGAUUAGUCUUUUUUGGUAUCAGGGUUAGGAGAAUUUAGGAUGCAGGUUAGGAGAAUUAACGUAUCAGGGUUAGGAGAAUUUAGGCUGCAGGUUAGGAUAAUUAACGUAUCAGGUUAGGAGAAUUAACGUAUCAGGUUAGGAGAAUUAACGUAUCAGGUUAGGAGAAUUAACGUAUCAGGUUAGGAGAAUUAACGUAUCAGGUUAGGAGAAUUAAUGUAUCAGGUUAGGAGAAUUAACGUAGCAGGGUUAGGAGAAUUAACGUAUCAGGUUAGGAGAAUUAACGUAGCAGGUUAGGAGAAUUAACGUAUCAGGUUAGGAGAAUUAACGUAUCAGGUUAGGAGAAUUUAGGCUGCAGGUUAGGAGAAUUAACGUAUCAGGGUUAGGAGAAUUAACGUAUCAGGUUAGGAGAAUUAACGUAUCAGGGUUAGGAGAAUUUAGGCUGCAGGUUAGGAGAAUUUAGGCUGCAGGUUA